AUAUUAAUAAGCGGAGGAAAAGAAACUAACCAGGAUUCCCCUAGUAACUGCGAGUGAAGCGGGAAAAGCUCACAAUGAAAAUCGGCAGGCCAAGCGGUUUGUCGAGUUGUACAUUGUAGAUGCAUGACCAGUGGCGACCCAGGUAUAAGUCCUUUGGAAUAGGGCGUCAUAGAGGGUGAGAAUCCCGUAUAUGACCUGGAGUGUAACUUCGCCGCGUCCGGUCUGCAUUCGACGAGUCGAGUUGCUUGGGACUUGCAGCUCUAAGUGGGUGGUAAAUUUCAUCCAAAGCUAAAUACCUGCGAGAGACCGAUAGCGAACAAGUACCGUGAGGGAAAGAUGAAAAGAACUUUGAAAAGAGAGUUAAACAGUACUUGAAAUUGUUAAGAAGGAAGCGAUGGCAACCAGUCGACGAAUAUCACAGGAGGUUAUAGAAGUGUCUGACCCGGGUGUAGUGAUCGGGGCGGCUCAGUUCACUUGUUCUCUUUACGGGGAAGCGAGAGUCUGAGCACAAAGGGAGGGAGGCGGGUCUAACUCGUUUCUGUCUCCCCUGGCCCAAUCUGCUAGCACAGGCGG
rnacentral:rRNA from 1 species